AGGAGUGUAGCUCAGAUGGUAGAGCGCCGGUCUCCAAAACCGAAGGUCGUGGGUUCGAUCCCCUCCGCUCCUG
rnacentral:tRNA from 1 species